rnacentral:rRNA from 1 species
GAUGAACGCUGGCGGCGUGCCUAAUACAUGCAAGUCGAGCGCGAGAUUGGGGAGCUUGCUCCCCAUGAUCGAGCGGCGGACGGGUGAGUAACACGUAGGCAACCUACCCAUCAGACUGGGAUAACCGCGGGAAACCGUGGCUAAUACCGGAUGACCCUUUAUGACACCGGUCGUAAAGUUGAAAGGCGCUUAUGGUGCCGCUGAUGGAUGGGCCUGCGGCGCAUUAGCUGGUUGGUGGGGUAACGGCCCACCAAGGCGACGAUGCGUAGCCGACCUGAGAGGGUGAUCGGCCACACUGGGACUGAGACACGGCCCAGACUCCUACGGGAGGCAGCAGUAGGGAAUCUUCCGCAAUGGACGCAAGUCUGACGGAGCAACGCCGCGUGAGUGAAGAAGGGUUUCGGCUCGUAAAACUC